rnacentral:ncRNA from 1 species
ACGCUGUAUGAAAGGACAGAAGGUUAGCUCUUGACAAGGAUGGAAGGGGCCCUUGGCCUGACAACAUGCAUCAGGUUAAGGCAUUGCUACCUACUUUGUAGCAUCUAACCAUGAUUUUUG